rnacentral:lncRNA from 1 species
GAAACUACAGCCACCUUCUAGAAAGUGAAGGAGGUGAGCCCAGUUCUCUUGUCUUGCGUAUUAAUAGCCAGGUAUUUGUUCAAAGUUGUGCAGAUGUUGGUCCUGUCUCCUCUGAGCUUCCAUCCUCCAUAAUGAAGAAUUUUCAUAUAUUCUUACUUAGUUUUCUGAAAAAGCGCUUUCUUUUUGCUUUUUUCAGAUGCUUUCUGCUGUACAGUCUCCUGGUUAUCUGUCUUUCUUGAUCAGAACCGGAGCAGGUGUUCCAGGCCUGCGUGCACCACGAUUUUCUGCAA